GAGACCAAGAUGGCUGCGAGACUCGGCGCCUUCCUCAAGAAUGCCUGGGACAAGGAGCCAGUGCUGGUCACGUCCUUCGUCAUCAGGGGCCUCGCUAUAAUUAUGCCCUCAUUCAGCCCCUACUUCAAGUACUCCAUCAUGAUCAACAAGGCCACGCCCUACAACUACCCAGUGCCCGUCCGUGAUGAUGGGAACAUGCCGGACGUGCCCAGCCACCCCCAGGACCCUCAGGGCCCAAGCCUGGAGUGGCUGAAGAAACUGUGAGCACCUUCACUGACAGAGGCCGCCCCUCCCACGGCUCCCAAUAAAAAUGUGGAAA